UACGUAGGUGGCGAGCGUUGUCCGGAUUUACUGGGCGUAAAGAGCGCGCAGGCGGUCGUUCAAGUCGCGUGUGAAAGCCCCCGGCUCAACUGGGGAGGGUCACGCGAUACUGAUCGACUCGAAGGCAGGAGAGGGAAGUGGAAUUCCCGGUGUAGUGGUGAAAUGCGCAGAUAUCAGGAAGAACACCCGUGGCUAAGGCGGCUCUCUAGUACGGUACUGACGCUGAGACGCGAAAGCGUGGGGAGCGAACAGG
rnacentral:rRNA from 1 species